GGCUUGGUGGUGUAAUGGUUAACACGUCUGCUGUAAAUAGACUCAGCAUUCUCUCGUUUACAGCAGGAGAUCCCUUGUUCGAAUCAAGGCCAGGCCG